rnacentral:rRNA from 1 species
UACGGGGGGGGGCAAGCGUUGUUCGGAAUUACUGGGCGUAAAGGGCUCGUAGGCGGCCAACUAAGUCAGACGUGAAAUCCCUCGGCUUAACCGGGGAACUGCGUCUGAUACUGGAUGGCUUGAGUUCGGGAGAGGGAUGCGGAAUUCCAGGUGUAGCGGUGAAAUGGCGUAGAUAUCUGGAGGAACACCGGUGGCGAAGGCGGCAUCCUGGACCGAUACUGACGUGAGGAG